AUUGAACGCUGGCGGCAGGCCUAACACAUGCAAGUCGAGCGGAUGACGGGAGCUUGCUCCUUGAUUCAGCGGCGGACGGGUGAGUAAUGCCUAGGAAUCUGCCUGGUAGUGGGGGACAACGUUACGAAAGGAGCGCUAAUACCGCAUACGUCCUACGGGAGAAAGCAGGGGACCUUCGGGCCUGGCGCUAUCAGAUGAGCCUAGGUCGGAUUAGCUAGUUGGGGGGGUAAUGGCUCACCAAGGCGACGAUCCGUAACUGGUCUGAGAGGAUGAUCAGUCACACUGGAACUGAGACACGGUCCAGACUCCUACGGGAGGCAGCAGUGGGGAAUAUUGGACAAUGGGCGAAAGCCUGAUCCAGCCAUGCCGCGUGUGUGAAGAAGGUCUUCGGAUUGUAAAGCACUUUAAGUUGGGAGGAAGGGCAGUAAGUUAAUACCUUGCUGUUUUGACGUUACCGACAGAAUAAGCACCGGCUAACUCUGUGCCAGCCGCCGCAGUAACAC
rnacentral:rRNA from 1 species